UUAAGAUUGAGACUAAAAAAAGAAAUUAGGAAUUGUGUUUAUAGUUUAGGAUUUUAAAUGUGAUAUAAGGUUUGGGGUUAAGUUUUUGAGUUUAGAAUUUGUAGUCAUAAUAUAAAGUUUGGGGUUAAGUUUUAGGGUUUAGGGUUUGAAGUACAUCAAAUUAUUUUUUAUACAUUUUCAAAUCUUAUGCUUAAACCCUUCAAAAACCUCAUAUUUUUAUCUUUAAUCUAAACUCUAAACACUACUCACACACCUUUGUAGUUUAGGGGUUAUAGUUUGGAGGUUAUAUAAUUUACGGAUUGUAGUUUUAGGGGUUACAUUUUUUUUGUUCCAAUUUUGACUGAUUUUAUUUGGGUUUUGGCUCCUUUACAAUUUUGGUUCAAAAGUAAUUAUGGCUCUCUCUAUAAUUCACCGAUGCAACUGCCCUACUUCUACGAUUGAUGGCAAAACUCAAAUGAAAAUGCAGAGUCUCUGUUUUUGAUUUUUCGAGGUAUUGGGUUUACACAAGAAGAAACGGAGAUGAUUCUGGUGAAAAGCCUAGAUGUAAAGUCGACGCCUUUGAUAAGAUCAGUGCUCGUGUUGCUUCUCUCCAGUCUCUGAAACUCAAUGUCUUCACGCUUCAGGGUCUAAAACCAGCAGCUGAUCUCCGCAUGUUCUGUUGGAAGCCUAGGCGUUGUAGACGGUGAUGUUAAACCGGGGAAUCUGCUUUUAGACCGGAAGGGUAAUCUCUCAGUCUCGGACUUUGACUCAGUGUUGUCUCUGGACAGAUUUACAGAGGUGAGUUUACAGAGAUGUUGUCGAGGUGAAGAAGAAAGGAAAAUCUAGAACAUAGUAUGAAGACUUUUGUAACAGUGAAUUAAAACCCAUGUUAGCAAUUCUGUACUAAACAGUUCCGUAUCAGAUCUUUACUACGAGAAAAACAAUGAAACCAAAAUAAAUAAACUUGUUAUUUUCUUUCUAAAGAUGUUUAUACUCGUAGAGAAGAAACCGGUAGGAGAAGAUAGAGGAGGAGACACAUUUUCACUAUCAUAGCAUUUUUCGAUAUCAUAGCAUUUAUGUAACGCUAUUAUAUAAUACAAUUUUUUUUAAAUCAUCUACGAUAGCAGUUCAGUAAAACGUGCUAUAACAAUAUGCUAUCAAUGUAGACUUUUUUUGUAGUGUGGCUCUCAAUCCUGGAGGCAAAGAACGGACCGAGAAAGAGUUUGAGGCAUUGGCCAAAGGAUCAGGCUUCAAAGGCAUCACAGUUGUUUGCAACGUUUUCGGUGUUUACGUUAUUGAGCUGCUCAAGAAGAUCUGAGAACAAAUUCCUUAAUGGUGCUUUAUAAAUAAAAAUGCAUGCUCUCUUGUACGUCUACUUCACCAACUUAAUUGUUGUAGUUAUGUUAUUGUUUUGAUUUAAAGUUUUAAGCAAUGAUGUUUAAUCAUGGUUGCCAUGCGAGCUGUUUAUCAAUAAAUUGUAUUUGUGUUUUUA